CACAGCCAUGGCACAGAGCUGGGGUUUUGAUCACUACGGAAGCCGUCUCCCAACAGAAAUGGAUUCUCACAAAAAUAAUAAAACAAACACCAAAAUCUCUUGCCACUCAGCUGCCUGAGCCCGGGAUGAGGGCAGCGUUCCCUUGCAGGGCCCUCCAUUGCUCGUGUCCAGGGGACAAGAAAUGUGACUUUCAGAUCACGGCACAAACCAGCUUUGUUUACUGACCAGUGGCACACACCAUGAUGCUAUUGUAUUGCAGAGAGAGGCCUGAGAGCCACAUCACUACGGUGUAACCUGUGCUCAGCAAACUGGCCUCAGUGACUCAUGGUGGACAGAAGGACCCCAGUCCUUGUUUUCCAAGGAGCUACAUUUGGGUGCCAUGGCGGAGGGAGAAUGGAAAAAAAAAUUCUAUGCCUUCCAUAACCAGUCAGUUCAGCCCACAUUUAUCCCGGAUGGCCAUGUCUUGAUAAAUAUCAACUUGUGUAUAUUGUGUAUCUACAGAGGUGGCUUGGAUGCCAGAUAAGGUUUCUGUGUGUAUCCCUGGCUGUUCUGGGACUCACUCCAUAGACCAGGCUGUCCUCAAACUCAGAGAUCUGCUGCCUCGAUGUCUCUGCCUCCCAUGUGUUGGGUUCAAAGGUGAGCACCACCGCCGCCCAGCAAUGGAGGCCAUUUUUUUACAUAGCAAUGUCCCAUAACGGAGGACACUUGCUAGGCCAGGCUUUCCUCACAGUUCCAAUGGUGUGAUAAUGAAGCAGCUAGGUGCUUCGUGACUUUCUUAAGGUGACAAAGUCAGUGGGAUCACAAUUUUAUACUUUGGAGGGACACCGCACUCCAAGGCCACAGAGUGGGAACUCUGAGGUUCAGGGAGCCAAACUGGACUUCCCUACCUACCCGGGGAUGUUGGGAUCUGAGAGCUCAAGGAUCCAAGAGCCAGGAUGUGGGAAAGGCUAUCUAGUCUAUUAUUCAGUUUCAUGCUCUUGGGGGAUCAGAGUAUCUACUGAUGUGGACUAGGAAGAACUACAUCCCAGUGCUCUUUGAGGGAUGUGGCUUCUACCCUUUGCGGCACAGAGACCAGACGAUGCUAGGGAAAACGUCCGUGGAGACCACGCACAGGUGAGUGGCCGAGGCAGAAGGAAGGUGAAGUUGUCAUAGGAUAUAGUACAGCAGGGCCCUAGGAGCCUGGACCGGGAGGUGAGAGGGUUGAAUUCCAUCUCUGGUCAUGAGAAAGUUGGAGUUCAAAAGGGUAGUGCAUUUAUCCAGGGUAUAUACCUCCAGGGUGGGACUCAGGCUAAAGUCCAGGCCUUUGAAUUCCAGAUCUCUGGACUAUGCCACUCUUCUGAGCUGUGAAACAGAAGCUGAAAACAUGACCUCUGGCUCCCUUCUGGGUCCAAAGAAUAAUAUUUUGAAGGAUGCAUGUGAAGUCUCCUUAACAUCCAAAGGGAAGGAAGAAAGGAAAGAUGUAGUUCAGUAAGACAGGAAGUGAGAAGUAGGAAGGACAGAAUAAAAGAGAAAAAAAACUUAAAUUCUGUGUUUUCAACUUUGGACCACCCAAAUCUGCCUCCAGAAGAUUAAAAUCCACAUCCCAGCCAUCAUCACCAGAAACUUCUGCCUCCAUCCUACCAAAUGACCAAUCCCGGAGACUCAGCUCUCACAGGAAAGGGAGGGACCGCAGUGCCCAUGCAAGUCAUCAGUAUGCCAGGCGGCAGUGCAUGCAGUAGUGACCCCGUGUAGCCAAGAAGUAAACAAGUUUAGACCCAGGUGAAUCUGGGGGAGAAAAGAAGGAGUACAAAUUAUACUCUCGGGAUGGUUCACAGUUCAAGUCCCUGCUGGAUGCCGUUUGAGAGACUCACUUCAAUCUGAUUUGGUGUAUCUUUCUGCUGUCUCUUCUCAUCCCUGUGAAGCCUCCUGUUUCCCUACCUUCUCCUCCUCUUCAGUCGAUUAGGAUUCGAUUAUACUGUUUCCGGGUAACAGCUCAUGGCCUGGAGUUCAAAUGAAGUACUGGUCGGCACUGUAAGCCGCACAUCUCUGCCCUGAAAUUUAAUAGCUUUCCGUAUACUUUGUUUCAAUCCUCGAAGGCAAAAAAAAUUCUGUCUUUUUAGUUGUCUUGGCAUAACAUCCAAAGGUACUACAUUA